rnacentral:rRNA from 1 species
CCUACGGGAGGCAGCAGCGGGGAAUAUUGGACAAUGGGCGAAAGCCUGAUCCAGCCAUGCCGCGUGUGUGAAGAAGGUCUUCGGAUUGUAAAGCACUUUAAGUUGGGAGGAAGGGCAGUAAGUUAAUACCUUGCUGUUUUGACGUUACCGACAGAAUAAGCACCGGCUAACUCUGUGCCAGCAGCCGCGGUAAU